rnacentral:rRNA from 1 species
UACGAAGGGGGCUAGCGUUGCUCGGAAUCACUGGGCGUAAAGCGCACGUAGGCGGAUCAUUAAGUCAGGGGUGAAAGCCUGGGGCUCAACUCCAGAACUGCCCUUGAUACUGAUGAUCUUGAGUCCGGAAGAGGUUGGUGGAACUCCGAGUGUAGAGGUGAAAUUCGUAGAUAUUCGGAAGAACACCAGUGGCGAAGGCGGCCAACUGGUCCGGUACUGACGCUGAGGUGCGAAAGCGUGGGGAGCAAACAGG